GAUGCAGUUUAGUGAGUCUGCAGCUGAAGAUGUUCAAAUACCAGACGAGCAGGAUUCAGAAAAUCAGGACGGCACAGAGGAGCCAUCAGAAGCUUCUGAGGUAGAGUCCUGAAAAACAAUACCUUGUGUAUUCUGUGUUUGCUGAAUGGAAUAAACAACUUUUGAAUUAAUGAUUUUCUUUCUGGCAGGAAUGCAGUGCCUCUCUCAAUGAAAAUGCAAAAUCUGAAAUUUCAGAUUCAGCUGGAGUGGAUACAGGUGCAGUUGGUAGUGAUGACAUGAACACAUGAUCCAGAGAAAUUUAAAUACUAUAGAAAAUUUCUAUAAAUACAAUAUUGUAAAUGUACUGUGCUGUCAUUACUGUUUAAAGGUUUUUUUUUUUUUAAGAAGUCUCUUAAGCUCACAAAGGCUGCAUUUAUUUGUUAUUAGAAUUCUAAUAUGCUGAUUUGGUGAUCCAGUAACAUUUCUUAUUACUAUUAUUAAUUUUAGUUGUGCUGCUUUUAUAUUUUUUGUGGAAACUGCUAUACAUUUUUUUUUCAAGAUACUUUGUAUUUAUUUAAAAAAAUCUUUCUUUAAAAUCUGACACUAAACUUUGAAUGGUAGUGUAUAUUAUUGUUUUAACAAUUUCCUUCCUUGUCACAGAUAAACAUUCUGAGGAGGAGCCCACAUUUAUUUUAACUCUAUAUGAGAUUCCAGCCUCUGAGUCUGCCUUUGGGCAGCAGGACACUCCCCCUUAUGAACUGCAGCCAGCACAAGUCCAGACACCCUUGCUGUUCUCAUGCAGUUCACAUUCUCAUUACUUCACAUUAGAGCCUUCCAGGUACAUUUCCCUUCCAGUCUAGAUUUAAUUAGGUAACAUUUUACACAGUAAAAAACCAAAUCCUUGAUCAUCCAUUCCUUUCAUCCUUGAUGACCUUGUUUUGCAGUGCAUCUCCGAACAUGGCGUCUGAAGAGACCAGUAAUCUAUAUAAAAGUAGUUCUCGCAAGGUGGUGGAUGACUCCCUGGAUCCUCUUUCAAAGGAAGCAGCAGAUGAUGCUAGUACACAAUUGAUAUCCUCACUGGAAAGCAGUUGUGAUGAUGUGAACUCUUUAAUUAGUCCACCCGGGAUGUUCUCUUGUAAUUCUGCCACGCCAACACAUGUGCUGAAAUUGGAUGAGAUCCUGACAGAAUCCCCAGAAACUAAAGCACCUUCUCAGAGGAGAUGUAGAUGUCAGAAUCUACCAACAUCUCAAACCACAGCACAAACUGAGAUUGAGACCAACCAGACACUAUCUGUGCAGGAAACAGUUGGUCCUGAAAGCCACUCAAGCCUUGAAGACAGUGAGAGGGAAGCCCGUCCUGGGCCUGAUGGCAUGAUAUCAACAGCCAUUGUUCCAGGGUCUGAAGAUAUGAGAGAUGAGAGUCACCUGAAGUGGGAAUGUCCUCUCAGAACAGAACUCCAGAGGAAUGAGGACUCUGUUGUUGACCCUCCAGUACACAGUACAUUCAUAAAGGAGUCUGAGGGGAACAACAAAGCUGGUUAUGAGGGUAUUUCACACAUAGUGUUGGCUGAUGCCUUCGUACUCUCAUCAGAAGAAAUGAAGGAUGUUUUUAAUAAGGAAAAAGAAAGCCCUUAUGAUAGUGAGCUCCAAAUACCUGAGGGCUUAUCUGUAUGUCUGACAGAGAGUGAGAAAUCUGUUCCUUCAGUUAUUGACCAAGAGGAAAUAAUGGCAGAUAUUUCUAAAAAUCCUGAUACUUGCAGAGAGGCAUCAUGUGUGUCAUCAUCUGCAUUUCAAGAGAAGACUAUGCCCUCUAGGAGAGACAAGUUGCAAGUGAAGCCUAAAAUCCCCAAAACAACAUCUACUGAAGACGAUUGCUCUAGACAGAAGCUAUCUGACUUUGGGUAUAAUGAUCCAGCCACAACUCAAAUAAUUUCACCAGAACCUCUGAUUAAAGAAGAAUCCAGUAAAGUGGAACAGAGAUCCGAGCAAGAAGUUUUCUCUGAUAUUCCAAAGGAGGAAUUAGACGGAGAGCCUGCUGGGAUUGCUUCAUCCUCACAACUUCAACAGCUUAUACCAUUCAGCACUGUAAAAUCAACAGCAUGCACUGAAUUGCAUCCAGUGGAACUGAAAACAGAGGGUAGGCAUGAGGAUGCGUCACAUGUGGUGUUGCCUGAUAUAUUGGUGCCGGUUUCUGCUGAAAUGGAAAAUGGUGAUCAUAUGGCGAGUGGAAGUUCUGUCCAAAGCAGUCUCCAAAUGGGUGAAGAGAGCCAGCAGGUUGUCGCUGCAGAAGCAGACCAGGAGGUGCUUUCGCAUGAGGGUGUUUCACACAUGCUGCUGACUGAUAUGUUGAUCCCCGUCUGUGAGAAAAUGGAAGAUGAUUUAAACAAGGAACGGACAACAGCUGGAGAGAAAAGCCCUCAUGAGGAAGGAAGAUCUCAGGUGAGAGAGGAUCCAGAUACCGCAGACCUGUUCUGUCAAGUGUCACAAUCAUCAAAUGUGGGACCAUCAGUAUCACCCAAGAGGAAAAGACCCACUCGAAAGAAAAGCAAGUUAUUGGUAAAGAUGACGUUUCCCAAAAGAAAGACUGGAGAUUCCCCUAAGAGUGGUGAGCAAUCACAAACCGUUCCUCUGUCAAUCUUAAUCUCGGAGUCAACACAGUGCAGUGCUGAGACAUGUGCUCACUUCCUGCCCACUGGCUCGGAGGACCAUGAGGAAGCAUCUGGGGGUGUUUCACACAUUGUGCUGUCUGAUAUUUUGGUGCCUGUAUUGGAUGAGACCACUGAAUGCAGCCAUCACAAAGACCCCUUAUCUGCUGGUCUUCAAGAAGUUGAGAAGUCAACAGAUAUUGGGAGACCAACAAAUACUGAAAUGGAAGAGAUGACCUCAAGUCAAUCUGUGGCAGUGGAAUGGAAAACACCUUGCUGUAGAAGAGGCACACUGCGUCCAAUGCCUAAACUGUCAAAAAGAAAAGAUGAUCCUUCAGAAAAUGACCUCGGUCAGCCCAGCCCUACACAGACCUCUUUAGCUACACCUCAGCAGUCCCUGGACCCUCAAGCUGCGGAAUGGUCUCUCAGAAGCAAUAUGCUGCCCAUGGACUCAGAUGAGAUGGAGAACUGGUGUGAAGGAGUUUCCCACAUGUUGCUGUCAGAUGCAUUUGUGCCCGUUUCUGAAGAGACUGGAGAGAACAGCACAGAUCUAAAAGUGUUUGUCUUAAGCAGUCCUCAUAAGAAUGAGCAAACCACGCUUAGUCCGACAAAGAGUGAGGAGACAACCUCUGAAAUUUCAAGUGAUGUACACCAAUUAGACACUACUUCUGACAUGAGAAAAUCAAAUGAGAGUCUGCCAGCAUCACAAGCAAAAAAAUCACCAGCAAGAAGUACAUUUCAGAUGACACUAAGGUCACCUGAAAGACGCCUUAAAGAUCAACCUGGUAUGCUGAAGUCAAUCCAAGCUGCCCCGACAGCACCUCAGCAAACUCCAACAUCAAAAGUGAAAGAGUCCAUGGGAACUCCAACAAGACAACAAACAGGAGAGAUCUCAAGUGCAUGCUGGGUACAGCUAGAAAGGUUAUCUGUAGAGGAAAUCUGCAGUGCUCAAACUGUCCUGCAACCAAAGCACCACAGCACGCCUGUCACUUUAAAACCCACUUCUAGAGGGAAUGAGAUGGACAAGGCAUCUCUGGCUUUGCAUGGAAGCAGAAGCUCUGGUUUAGGAUCACCCAUGCCGCCAGGUUACUCGCCAAGGGUUGUCCUUCAUCGUAUACCAUUAAAAGCUACUGAUGAGAACAUUUCUACACAUACUUCGUCCCCAGCUAGAGUGUCCACCACACCCUCCCGAACACAGUCUCAUCAUCAGUCUCCUCAAAACAGCCCUCCCGUCUCCAGUUUGGAUGCUGAUGAGAUUCCUGAUCAAGUGUCCCACAUCUUACUGCAUGACAUCUUCACUGAAGUUGUGGAUCCGGAUUGACUUUUAUUUGGGUUGUUUUGGUUCAGUUUCACUGCUGCUAUUCCAGUUCAUUGCACUAAAGUGGACGAUGUGUAACACUGUUACACUGCUAAUUUUAGACCUGUUAGUAAUUGUAAUAUAGUUUCUCAAAUUAAAUUUUGUUCAUGAAGGGAACAUUUAUAUAUAUUAUAUACAUUACUGUUAUGAGGCCUUUGCCCUUCUUUGGUGAUGAGCCAUGCGGUGAUAAAGGUUAAGUCACAGCUCUGUUAUUUAUUUCUAUUUAUUUAAUGCUGAACAUCGAAACACUUUUAUCAGUGUGUUUUUACUGAGUGAUCUUGUUUUUGUUCUGUGCAAAUAUAUUUGUUUUUAUGGUUACUGUAUGUUACUUUCAUUUGUUUUUCUUUCUGAGGGCAAAGCCCUUUUUGUGGGUUAUAAUACCUUUCUCCAGUGAGAAUAUAUUAUAAAGAAUGUUUAUGAAUAAUUAGAUAUUGUUAGUUGUAUUUGCAAUUUGUGGUACAGUCUGGAUAUUACAGCACUGGAGAAAUUAUAAGUAAAUAAAUUAAUAAUCACUUUCUCCA
ensembl:lncRNA